GUGCUCAAUUCAGAGCACAUAUACUAAAAUUGAAAUGAUACAGAUAAGAUCAGCAUGACCCUACAUGAAAAUGACACGCAAAUUCAUGGAACAUUCCAUAGUUUU